rnacentral:rRNA from 1 species
GUACACGCUGUGACUAGCAUAUCAAUAGCGGAGGAAAAGAAACUAACAAGGAUUCCCCUAGUAACGGCGAGUGAAGCGGGAAGAGCUCAAAUUUGAAAUUUUAAAGGGUUUCCCUUUACGAAUUGUAGUUUAAAGAAGUGUUUUCUGUUGAGGUUUUGGUAAAAGUUCUUUGGAAUAGGACAUCAUAGAGGGUGAGAAUCCCGUAUUUGACCUUUACUUUCAACUUUGUGAUACACUUUCAAAGAGUCGGAUUGUUUGGGAAUGCAGUCCAAAAUGGGUGGUAAAUUUCAUCUAAAGCUAAAUAUUGGCGAGAGACCGAUAGCGAACAAGUACCGUGAGGGAAAGAUGAAAAGAACUUUGAAAAGAGAGUUAAACAGUACGUGAAAAUUGUCAAAAGGGAAGCGUUUGACACCAGUGUUGUUUUUCUGAAAAUCAAUUAAAGAACUGUUUAUGCUAAGCUGUUUAGACUUUAUCAGCUAUCUGUUUAGUUUUGAGCUUUUCUUUAAUGCACUUUUCAGUUAACAAGUCAACAUCAAUUUCUUUUGCUGUAAAAAAGCUUGAGGAAGGUGGCUUGAGAUUCGUCUUAAGUGUUUAUAGCCUCUUGCCUAUGCAGUCGGAGAGAUUGAGGUCUGCAGCGUAGAUCCUUCGGGGCUAAAUGCAUCUGUGCUAAGUUAUAGCAUUUUAUAGACAACUUGUUGACUAUGAUUUGUCUUGUAGCUUACUCGCUUAUGUUAUUUUACCUACGCUUAGGAUGUUGAAGAUGUAGCACAUCAU